AGAGUUUGAUCCUGGCUCAGGAUGAACGCUAGCUACAGGCUUAACACAUGCAAGUCGAGGGGAAACGACAUCGAAAGCUUGCUUUUGAUGGGCGUCGACCGGCGCACGGGUGAGUAACGCGUAUCCAACCUGCCCACCACUUGGGGAUAACCUUGCGAAAGUAAGACUAAUACCCAAUGACGUCUCUAGAAGACAUCUGAAAGAGAUUAAAGAUUUAUCGGUGAUGGAUGGGGAUGCGUCUGAUUAGCUUGUUGGGCGGGGUAACGGCCCACAAGGCGACGAUCGAGUAGGGGUUCUGAGAGGAAGGUCCCCCANAUUGGAACUGAGACACGGUCAACUCCUACGGGAGGCA
rnacentral:rRNA from 1 species